UACGUAGGGUGCGAGCGUUGUCCGGAAUUAUUGGGCGUAAAGAGCUUGUAGGCGGUCUGUCGCGUCUGCUGUGAAAAUCCGGGGCUCAACCCCGGACUUGCAGUGGGUACGGGCAGACUAGAGUGUGGUAGGGGAGACUGGAAUUCCUGGUGUAGCGGUGAAAUGCGCAGAUAUCAGGAGGAACACCGAUGGCGAAGGCAGGUCUCUGGGCCACUACUGACGCUGAGGAACGAAAGCCAGGGGAGCGAACGGG
rnacentral:rRNA from 1 species